rnacentral:rRNA from 1 species
CGAAUGCUGACAUAAGUAACGAUAAAGCGGGUGAAAAGCCCGCUCGCCGGAAGACCAAGGGUUCCUGUCCAACGUUAAUCGGGGCAGGGUGAGUCGACCCCUAAGGCGAGGCCGAAAGGCGUAGUCGAUGGGAAACAGGUUAAUAUUCCUGUACUUGGUGUUACUGCGAAGGGGGGACGGAGAAGGCUAUGUUGGCCGGGCGACGGUUGUCCCGGUUUAAGCGUGUAGGCUGGUUUUCCAGGCAAAUCCGGAAAAUCAAGGCUGAGGCGUGAUGACGAGGCACUACGGUGCUGAAGCAACAAAUGCCCUGCUUCCAGGAAAAGCCUCUAAGCAUCAGGUAACAUCAAAUCGUACCCCAAACCGACACAGGUGGUCAGGUAGAGAAUACCAAGGCGCUUGAGAGAACUCGGGUGAAGGAACUAGGCAAAAUGGUGCCGUAACUUCGGGAGAAGGCACGCUGAUAUGUAGGUGAAGUCCCUCGCGGAUGGAGCUGAAAUCAGUCGAAGAUACCAGCUGGCUGCAACUGUUUAUUAAAAACACAGCACUGUGCAAACACGAAAGUGGACGUAUACGGUGUGACGCCUGCCCGGUGCCGGAAGGUUAAUUGAUGGGGUCAGCGCAAGCGAAGCUCUUGAUCGAAGCCCCGGUAAACGGCGGCCGUAACUAUAACGGUCCUAAGGUAGCGAAAUUCCUUGUCGGGUAAGUUCCGACCUGCACGAAUGGCGUAAUGAUGGCCAGGCUGUCUCCACCCGAGACUCAGUGAAAUUGAACUCGCUGUGAAGAUGCAGUGUACCCGCGGCAAGACGGAAAGACCCCGUGAACCUUUACUAUAGCUUGACACUGAACAUUGAGCCUUGAUGUGUAGGAUAGGUGGGAGGCUUUGAAGUGUGGACGCCAGUCUGCAUGGAGCCGACCUUGAAAUACCACCCUUUAAUGUUUGAUGUUCUAACGUGGACCCGUGAUCCGGGUUGCGGACAGUGUCUGGUGGGUAGUUUGACUGGGGCGGUCUCCUCCUAAAGAGUAACGGAGGAGCACGAAGGUUGGCUAAUCCUGGUCGGACAUCAGGAGGUUAGUGCAAUGGCAUAAGCCAGCUUGACUGCGAGCGUGACGGCGCGAGCAGGUGCGAAAGCAGGUCAUAGUGAUCCGGUGGUUCUGAAUGGAAGGGCCAUCGCUCAACGGAUAAAAGGUACUCCGGGGAUAACAGGCUGAUACCGCCCAAGAGUUCAUAUCGACGGCGGUGUUUGGCACCUCGAUGUCGGCUCAUCACAUCCUGGGGCUGAAGUAGGUCCCAAGGGUAUGGCUGUUCGCCAUUUAAAGUGGUACGCGAGCUGGGUUUAGAACGUCGUGAGACAGUUCGGUCCCUAUCUGCCGUGGGCGCUGGAGAACUGAGGGGGGCUGCUCCUAGUACGAGAGGACCGGAGUGGACGCAUCACUGGUGUUCGGGUUGUCAUGCCAAUGGCACUGCCCGGUAGCUAAAUGCGGAAGAGAUAAGUGCUGAAAGCAUCUAAGCACGAAACUUGCCCCGAGAUGAGUUCUCCCUGACCCUUUAAGGGUCCUGAAGGAACGUUGAAGACGACGACGU